GCCACGAUAGCCGAGCGGGUUAAAAGGCGAGACCUGCAAAGCUAAUAUGCAUUGUGGUACUGGGUUCGAUUCCCGGUCUUGGCC
rfam:Rhodnius prolixus Rhodnius_prolixus-3.0.3-54.64, whole genome shotgun sequence.